CGGAAGCAUAGUUGCUCCACAGCAGCGCGCCCUCACCUAGCAACAAAGCCUAAACACUGAGGAAGCGGGAGAAGGCUAACUUUAUUGGGAGAAGAGAACAAGGUGAAUAAUCUUUCAUGAUCAAGAAAUUAUUAAUGUUGUAGUUUCAAUAUUAAUUAUUGAGCUACCUUGAUUCUAUGGAGUAAUGCUGAAAUUCCAGGAAGCAGUUAAGCAUGGUACAUCAUUUACACCUAUUUCUAUCCACUCAAAAACACUGAUUGCAGGAAGAUACAAUAUUUAUCAAAAACUUGGAUGUGGAAGUUUUGGAACAGUUUAUCUGGUUUCUGACAAGAAAGCAAAAGAAGAAGAACAGUUGAAAGUUUUGAAAGAAAUCUGUGUGGGGAAUCUUAAGCCCAAUGAAACAGUUGAAGCGAAUUUGGAAGCACAAUUGUUGUCCAAGCUAGACCAUCCAGCCAUUGUUAAAUUCUAUACAAGUUUUGUUGAAGGAGAGAGUUUUUGCAUCAUUACUGAAUAUUGUGAGGGUCAAGACCUUGACUUUAAAAUUCAAGAGUACAAAAGAAGUGGCAAAGUAUUUCCUGAAAGUCAAAUAGUGAAAUGGUUUAUACAAUUAUUACUUGGAGUAAACUACCUACAUGAAAGACGAAUACUUCAUCGAGAUUUGAAAGCUAAGAAUAUUUUUUUGAAAAAUAAUCUGGUAAAAAUUGGGGACUUUGGAGUUUCUCGACUCUUGAUGGGAUCCUGCGAUUUAGCAACCACUUUUAUUGGGACACCUUUCUACAUGAGCCCAGAGGCAUUACAACACCAGGGUUAUGACACAAAAUCAGACAUUUGGUCACUUGGAUGCAUUUUGUAUGAGAUGUGUUGUUUGAAUCACACAUUUACUGGACAUAGUUUUUUGUCCAUUGUUCUGAAAAUUGUAGAGAGCAAAACACCUUCUCUUCCAGACAAUUUUCCAAGAGAACUUGAUGCUGUCUUGCAAAGAAUGCUGAAUAAGAACCCUUCACUGAGGCCAUCAGCUGCAGAGAUUUUAAGAACUUCAUACAUUGAUGAUCAGUUACAGAUUAUGAAAUAUAAGCACAAAAAUAUAAGCACACAAAUUAAAAACGAUUGGAUGUUUAAUUCCCAGGAAGAAGCUGAUCAUAUAAUAAGUGCUGUACAGAAAAAGGUACAUCUCCAAACUCUGAGGGCCAUAUCUGAAGUGCAGAAAAUGACACCACGUGAACGGAUGCGAUUGCGAAAAUUAAAUUUAGCUGAUCAAACAGCACAGAAGCUGAAACAGUUGGCUGAAGAAAAAUAUCAAGAAAAUCUUAAAAGAAUGCAAGAACUUAGAUCCCGUAAUUUUCACCAAGUGAAUAUAAAUGUGCUUCAUGAAUCUGAUCAGCACAAUUCAGAACAUCUCAUUAAAUCCCAGUCUGUCACUGCAUUGGACUAUUUUUCCAUAGGAUGCAAUAACCAAAGGAACAAUGAUACAGUAGGCAGACUUCAUGAAUCUAAUCCAGCAGAGCAUGAGAUUCCAGAGGAUCCUCUUACUGCAGAAGAAUAUUAUAAUGAUGCAUUUGAUUCCUGCUCAGAAACAAGUGAAGAAUCAGAUAGGGAACAGGAAGAAAAGAAUGCAUCACAGACAGACAGUGAUAUCAACGCAAUGGUCAGAUACAUGGAGAAUAUUGUAGGUAUCAAUUCUGAAGGUGAGAUAGCAUGUUCUUCAGUUUGAUUACAAUACCAACAAUUGGAUAUUCUUGACUUGUUGCAUAAAAUGCUGAGCCAACAUUUUGUGCAUGUAAAAGAAACUUGAAGUUGUUUAUCCUGAACCAGAAGUAAUUGCAACAGUCAGCCUAACAGAAAUACUCCUUAAAAGUUCAAUAUGUAGUAGAUUUUCUCUCCCUUGUUGGUUGACUUUUGAUAGAACUGAAGAAAAGGAGUUAACUUUUGGCUUAACCUUGUUCAACAUAACUCAUCAGCUGAGGUCUUAUUUAACAUCUUGACUUUUGGUAUGCCCAGUUGAUUUCUUCUAAUAGUGCAGCAGGAAUACAUGUAAUGUUUUAAAAGGAGGCAUUUGAAUGCAUGCCUGCAAGGGAAGUUUUUUUAAAAAAAAUAAGAUUAAAUACUAGUCAAUCACCGGAGAUUUACUCUUCCAAGCUUUCAGACUGAUGCUGGAGCCCAACAUUAGGGAGCUUCUCUCUACUGGAAUAUGUGCUUUGGGCUAUUCUGUGAGUAAUCUUUAUGUGGUGCCUUCCUAGUGGUUGAUUGGUUUGUUGAUGGCAGCCAUCAAUACACUGAUAAAGCUAUAGUUCCAAAUAGGUGAUCGUUCCUUUUCAUUUCUAUGUGAUCUAAACUCUAGUUUUUAAAGGAGAAAAAAAAUCAUAUCCUAUAUUAUCCCACAGCAGAACACAGGAUUCUACAAAAAGGGCUAAACUAUAAUACAAGUGAUGCCAAUCACCUAGAAUUUUUUUUGCAGCCUUAGAUGGAGCUGCAUGAUAGCAUUUAAAACCACCAAACUCCCCACAGAGCUCCAAGAAAACAUCUGACAAAGCAUCAUUCCAGAGAUUAGAAGAAGACAGGAACAGAAUCAACUUGCAACAGAAGACAAAGUACUGUCAGAAACCUAAAUCAGGACCAGACCAUCAUCCUACCUGCAGACAAAGGCCAAACCAAGGUGAUUAUGGAUAGAGCACAAUGCCAACAAAAAGCAAAAGAAAUACUGGAGGACAAAGAAACUACAUCCCUGUGAACACCUAUAGAAUACAAAAACUAGACAACCAAAUCAAGAGAACCCCUUAGUGACUUCACUAAGAAAGGCCAAAUUACAAAAAAGGAACAGUAGCAGAAGAGAAGCAGUCUCCCACUCUUCUACAGUUCUACAGUUCUCCCACUCUUCUACAGUUGCCCCAAAAUACACAAACUGGCAUACCCUUCCAUCUAAUCAUAUCUCUACUAGAGACCCCUACACACAACAUUGCAAAAAAAAAAAUUAACAAAAAACCUUGGGCAUCUCACAAGAGGAAGCCAACACUCGGUUAACUCUCCACUACAAUGUCUUCAAACAACCAGAGAUAUGACUUAUAGAUGAGGAUGAAAUCAUGGUCUCAUUUGUUGUCAUAGCCCUGUUUACGUCUAUAGAUGCAGAAUUAGCAAAGAAUCCAUGACUGCAUUGCUUCAUAGUACACCUGACUUAAUUGAGUACAGAAAGAUCAAAACACCCAGGAUUACGGAUCUCAUAAACCUCUACUUAACUUUAUACUUCCUAUUUGAGGCCAAAUUUACCAACAAAUUAAAGGAACACCAAUGUGAUUAUUGAUUUCAGGACUUAUAGUGAAGGUUGUCAUGCAACACCCAGAAGGCAUAGCACUUCCACAAAUACAACCUAAAAUAUGGAUCAGAUAUGUAGAUGACACCUUCACCAUAAUAAAAAAGACUAACUAGAGAACACCCAAAGAACCAUCAAUAAUAUUUUUAAAGGAAUCCAGUUUACUAGAGAAAAAGAAAACAACAACUCGCUACCCUUCCUGGACAUCCUUAUCAGCAAAGACCACAAUGACAAACUGAGAGCACCAAAGACAAAUUCCUUGUGUGUCCAAUCACAUUUGGCCAAUAAAGAAUUCUUCUCUAAAGAAAUAUAAGUCUACAGAAAAAACACCCAUAGUAACCAGGUGCUCCAUUACCAAAACAACAGCCCAACCUCCCACAAGAGAAGCUGUGUAAGGACUUUAUUUAAACAAGCCCAAACACAGCAAACCCGAAUAGCAGUAAAAGGAAAUGGAGCAUCUAUAUAACACAUUCCAACAAAAUGGAUACCCACGCAACUUAAUUAAAAAGUCUUGACCAUUCAACUCAAUACAGCACAACCAACACAAACCCUAAAAAGAAUUACACUGCCAUAUAUCAAGAAUAUCUUAGAAACCACCAACAGACUAUUACAACCAUAUGGAAUCAGUGUAGCACACAAGCCUACUAAAACCCUUCAAAAUGUCCUAAGCAAACCAAAAGAUCCAGCAACCCCAGAAGAAAAAACAGGACUCAUCUACAACAUACAGUGUAGGAAUUGCAACAAUCACUAUGUAGGACAAACAAGCAGAAGAUUGGAAGAACGCAUCCCUAAACACUAACUGGCAAUCAGAAGCAUGACCAAAAAAAAUUAAUAUCAGAACAUAUAGACAGAUUUAAUCACAGUCUCAAUUGGGAAAAUGUGACAAUCCUAGACCAGGCCAAGUCCAAAAAUGCCAGGAAAUUUCUAGAAGUCUGGCACUCUGACAAAUCAGCCAUUAAUAUACACAUAGACAUUAACAACAUCUAUAGACUAUGCAAAAAAUACAAUCAACCAGCCCAAAAGAAAACAAAAAGACACAAGCACCUCUCCACCAGUAAUCAGCACCCAGAUUAGCAUAGAUUAACUCCAAGGUUAACUUUGGACCAACAAUCAAGUAAACAAUAUCCCAAUCAAGAAACUGCCAAAGAGAUACCAGUAAACAGCCCAACCAAAGAAUGUCUAAGACUCUCCCCACCCACCCAAAUAGGCAAGUCACCAGAAUAUAAACUGACAGCAAACAGCACUCCUUACUAGUACUGAUGAGGUUAUUUAAUUAGGGUAGUGAAAGGUCUGCAAGAAAAGAAACAAGCUCAGACAGCACUAAGGACCCAUCAUUUCAACCCUGAGCUUCAAAUGUUCUCCUUUAUUGGUACUAUAUUAUCCCUUAUAUAGACCAAUAAUUCGUAUGUAAAACUAUGAACAUACUCAUAUUAUUCUUUCAAAAUAAUUAGUAUUAUGCAAAGUGCACGGAAAAGGAAGAAGCAGUAAGUCAAGAAAUUAAAGAUGAAAGAAAAUAAAAUAAAAUCUAGUUUACUAGGUUCACAUCCUUGUCUCCACUUUUCCGUAUGCUGAUUCAUAGAUCUUAGUUUGCUAAAAUCUCUCUUCUUGAGAUCCCAUCAACUCCAGCUAAGACUUAGACUAAGUCACCAAGUUGAUAUCUUACCGUUUAUAAUACCGUGUUUUCCCAAAAAUAAGACCCUGUCUUAUAUUUUUUUGAACCUUGAAAUAAGUGCUUGGCGUUAUUACCAUGCGCUCAAAAGCCCGAUUGGCUUAUUAUCAGGGGAUGUCUUAUUUUGGGGGAAACAGGGUAGUAUGUUUCUAACUUGAUAACAUAUUUAAUACAUUCCAGCUGCUUGAACAAGGCAUAAGUCAUAUUAAAUUUAUAGUUUAAGAAUUGUAAGUCCUACGUUGUUAUGAUACCAAAAUUGCACUCAGUAUUUUCCAGUAUUAAACACUCAUUUCUGUUUAUGGAGGAUUAAAAUUAUGGUUUCUUUUCAUGUAAACCUUUUCCCAGUAAUAAAUAACUGAAAUAGGUUAAAUAAUUUCAAGAAAUUAUUCAAUCAAAGGAAAUAUUUAUUUAAUGUCUCUGGAAUUUAAAUAUUGAUCACAGAUGAUGUUAGAUAACAUGCUAAAGCAAGUUGUUCUCUUUAUUAACAUUAAUCAGUGGAAAUGUUCAUGAAAUAUUAGAUGCUUGAAGUUGCAAUGUAAAGCAGUUAUAAAGAACAAUCAAAUGAUAAUACUUUGUCUUCUCUCACAGGUGGUAGAACCAUUAGGUAUAGAAUGCGUCAAAUCCAUAUUAAAGUUUGCAGGAAGUUACCACUCAUCCCUCUCCUAGAAGAAUGAAAUACUGUAGGAAAUAUUAAAAAGCAGAAUAUUACAUUUUCCCUAAAGGAGAAACACGUUUUUAAAGACAAACUCAGAGCCUCAGCAUCCUGCUGCCUCAGCAGAUAUUUUAGUGCCAACCAAAAUACAAGACAAAGGCUGGGCCAGCUUAUCUACAACACAAAAGACAUGGCCCUCAGGACAUGAUAGGAUUAGCCCUCACUCAAGAUCCAAACCAGGACAAAGCCAUUAAGCCAUAAUAGGAAUUGCCCAAAGCCCCUUCAUUAUAUCUUCACCCAGCAAGAUUCAACCAGGCCUGGGACAACCUACAAAGUUACCCCUGCAUGGCCCCAUGGGAGUCUGACAACCAAUCAGAGUACAUUUCUUAUAUAGAAACAGGAAGCUCUAAGGCAGGGCCCAAGAGAGGAUAUAAAUCUCUCCCUCUCUCACCCAUGUGCUCUUUUUGCCAGGAUCUCAAACCACGUGGUCCUGUCCACUACUAAACCAUCUUUCCAAGUAAUCUCUGUGUUUCCAGUGUCUUUCUUCCCACUUGGAACUGAACCCAGAUGGACAUUUCUUCCAACAAGUUUAUUGUUUAAAUAGUUUCAAAAGUUAUUCUAUUUCCGAACAUACUGUAGGUAUUUUUAUUAUCAGGUAUGUUUAGAGAAUGUAAAUGAGUUAAUUUCAAAAUAUUAAGGGAUAUUUUUGGUAUUCAAUUUGCUGAUGAAAGCGUGAGAAAUGGAGAGAAAAUGUCAUUAUUUUCUCUAUUAUAUACAACUUAAACAGAAAUAUGUGCUAAUUAUAUAAAUAUAUUUGUAUGCUCCCUUUAAAUCAAUGAAAUUGAUUUAAAUUGAAUUGCUAACUAUUAUGCAGGCUUUUUUUUCAAAGAUGUAAAGUUCACACAGGGCCUGGUUAUGUAUCAUGAAGUCUUUCCAAAAAGACUUCAAAUAUUAAUAGGGUAAGAAAAUGGGAUUGGUAGUUUUACUUUUAUGUAGGAGGGAUAAAACUGAGGCCCAUGGCUACAAUUUAGAAAUCAAAACUUUGGCUGCAGCUUGUUUUGUUUCUCCAGAAGUUGCCAUCAAAAUAUAGUUUUUAAUGUGAUAGAUGAAAUCCUAAAUAUGAGGGGAGUAAUUAUAGGAAUUAUAUCCUGAGUUACAUUACAGCAGGUAGGUAGUUCAGAAUAGGCAGACAGACAUUCAGGAAUGUGGAAGAAAUUAAAUAUUAUAGGACAUAGGAAGGAAGCUUUUGUAAAGUAGAUACUCAGUAGUAUAUCAAAAAUAGUAUAUCACUGAUCACUCUCUGACAUAUAGUUCUGCAAAACUGUGUGUCCAUUGCAUGAACUCUAUUACUUUUAUUCAGUAAUAAUAGACAAAAACAUCUUGUUUGGAACUUCCUUCAUACAAUGAAAAUAUUAUGAUUCCUAGACUCUUGGUUGGAAUGAUCAGAAUAUAUUCAAGGAACUAGAAGUUUCACUGAAGUGACUCCGUUGGAACCUGUGAGAUUGAGAGCUCUCAAUAAUACUAUGGCUACAACUAAGCUGAGACAUAUGAA